GAUGAACGCUGGCGGCGUGCCUAAUACAUGCAAGUCGAACGAAUCUUGGUGAAUGAAUUGGAGUGCUUGCACAAAGAGACAUUUACAAUGAGAUGAGUGGCGGACGGGUGAGUAACACGUGGGUAACCUGCCCUGAAGUGGGGGAUAACAUUUGGAAACAGAUGCUAAUACCGCAUAACAAUGAUAGUCACAUGACAAUUAUUUGAAAGAUGGAGCAAUCUAUCACUUCAGGAUGGACCUGCGGCGUAUUAGCUAGUUGGUAAGGUAAAGGCUUACCAAGGCGAUGAUACGUAGCCGACUUGAGAGAGUGAUCGGCCACAUUGGGACUGAGACACGGCCCAAACUCCUACGGGAGGCAGCAGUAGGGAAUCUUCCACAAUGGACGAAAGCCUGAUGGAGCAACGCCGCGUGAGUGAAGAAGGGUUUCGGCUCGUAAAACUCUGUUAUUGGAGAAGAAGGAUAAGGUAAGUAACUGUACUUUAUUUGACGGUACCCAACCAGAAAGUCACGGCUAACUACGUCCAGCAGCCGCGGUAAUACGU
rnacentral:rRNA from 1 species